rnacentral:rRNA from 1 species
CGGAGGAUCCAAGCGUUGUCCGGAUUUAUUGGGUUUAAAGGGUGCGUAGGCGGAUCUUUAAGUCAGUGGUGAAAGCCUGCAGCUCAACUGUAGAACAGCCAUUGAAACUGAAGAUCUUGAAUAUGGUUAAAGUAGGCGGAAUGUAUCAUGUAGCGGUGAAAUGCUUAGAUAUGAUACAGAACACCGAUAGCGAAGGCAGCUUGCUGAACCAUUAUUGACGCUGAGGCACGAAAGCGUGGGGAGCAAACAGGAUUAGAUACCCUGGUAGUCCACGCCCUAAACGUUGAUUACUCGUUGUUGGCGAUAUACUGUCAGCGACUAAGCUAAAGCGUUAAGUAAUCCACCUGGGAAGUACGACCGCAAGGUUG